AUCCGGCUGACGAGUUCCAAAUAGGACGAGGUGCGCGUCGUGGAU
rnacentral:hammerhead_ribozyme from 1 species